GAUGAAGAACGUAGUGAAAUGCGAUAAUUAAUGUGAAUUGCAGAAUUCAGUGAAUCAUCGAAUCUUUGAACGCACAUUGCGCCCCUUGGUAUUCCAUGGGGCAUGCCUGUUCGAGCGUCAUUUGUACCUACAAGCUUUGCUUGGUGUUGGGUGUUUGUCCAUUCUCUUGCAGAGGGACUCGCCUUAAAGUAAUUGGCAGCCAGUGUUUUGGUUUUGAAGCGCAGCACAAGUCGCGAUUCAAAGCUAUACGCCCGCUUCCACAAGCCUUUUUCACUUUUGACCUCGGAUCAGGUAGGGAUACCCGCUGAACUUAAGCAUAUCAAUAAGCGGAGGA
rnacentral:misc_RNA from 1 species